GAUGAAGAACGUAGCGAAAUGCGAUAAGUAAUGUGAAUUGCAGAAUUCAGUGAAUCAUCGAAUCUUUGAACGCACAUUGCGCCCGCCAGUAUUCUGGCGGGCAUGCCUGUCCGAGCGUCAUUUCAACCAUCAAGCCCCGGGCUUGUGUUGGGGACCUGCGUCCGACGCAGGCCCCGAAAACCAGUGGCGGGCUCGCUGUCCACACCGAGCGUAGUAGCUAACCUCGCUCCGGAGUGGCGCGGGCGCCUGCCGUAAAACCCCCCAAUUUUACAAGGUUGACCUCGGAUCGGGUAGGAAUACCCGCUGAACUUAAGCAUAUCAAUAAGCGGAGGA
rnacentral:misc_RNA from 1 species